UGUGUGAAAGAUCUUCUCGAUUUCUUUUUGGCGCACCAACUUUUUCCUUCCUCUUUUCCAUGCCUCCCAUACCUAUUUUGAUAACAUUUGAUCUUAUCUCCUUUGAGGCAUGAGGGAUAAGGGGUUGGUGUGACAAAAAAAAUAAGAAGAUGGAGAGAGGGUGCGUGUAAGAAGAAGAGAUUCUUCUUUCUUGUGCCAACCUUCUUUAUUUUUUACAUCCCAACCCUCUUCCUCUCCUUCUCCACUUCAUC
rnacentral:lncRNA from 1 species